AAUGAACGCUGGCGGCAUGCCUAACACAUGCAAGUCGAACGAAGGCUUCGGCCUUAGUGGCGCACGGGUGCGUAACGCGUGGGAAUCUGCCCUCAGGUUCGGAAUAACAGCGAGAAAUUGCUGCUAAUACCGGAUGAUAUCGCGAGAUCAAAGAUUUAUCGCCUGAGGAUGAGCCCGCGUAGGAUUAGCUAGUUGGUGUGGUAAAGGCGCACCAAGGCGACGAUCCUUAGCUGGUCUGAGAGGAUGAUCAGCCACACUGGGACUGAGACACGGCCCAGACUCCUACGGGGGGCAGCAGUGGGGAAUAUUGGACAAUGGGCGAAAGCCUGAUCCAGCAAUGCCGCGUGAGUGAUGAAGGCCUUGGGGUUGUAAAGCUCUUUUACCCGGGAUGAUAAUGACAGUACCGGGAGAAUAAGCUCCGGCUAACUCCGUGCCAGCCGCCGCAGUAA
rnacentral:rRNA from 1 species